rnacentral:rRNA from 1 species
AGGCUUAACACAUGCAAGUCGAGCGCACUCUUUUAGAGUGAGCGGCAAACGGGUGAGUAACGCGUGGGAAUCUACCCCUCUCUACGGAAUAACACAGAGAAAUUUGUGCUAAUACCGUAUACGUCCUAUUGGAGAAAGAUUUAUCGGAGAUGGAUGAGCCCGCGUUGGAUUAGCUAGUUGGUGAGGUAAUAGCUCACCAAGGCGACGAUCCAUAGCUGGUCUGAGAGGAUGAUCAGCCACACUGGGACUGAGACACGGCCCAGACUCCUACGGGAGGCAGCAGUGGGGAAUAUUGGACAAUGGGGGCAACCCUGAUCCAGCCAUGCCGCGUGAGUGAUGAAGGCCCUAGGGUUGUAAAGCUCUUUCA